rnacentral:lncRNA from 1 species
AUGAGCUGUCGCGGCCCAUGCAAAUUUGAUGUGCAUAAAUAAUGCAGUAUAGUGCUAGGGAAUGACCCAUAGGUCGUCUCUCAAGGACCAAAUGUGGUUUGAGUCUUAGGUCUAACACGAAGUGGGGGGGGGUUUGAAGGUGUUUGAGACGAGAAUUAAACUCAAUUAAAAUGCAUGGAAAUUAAACACAACCGAAUAAGAUAGAAAAUAUUAAAGUAAAAUAAAAUGUUAGACCUAACACUACAAGAGACAAAUAUCCAGACAUAAUUAAAACUAUAAAGAUGCAACACUAAAGCUAAAAAAAUAAAAUGUUAUCCAUCAUGAAAACAAUAAAUAAAAAAUGCUUGAAAAGUUAAAAUCACAUUAGAUAAAUAAACCUGAAAUCAAUUCUAUAUAUAUAUAAAU